UUGAACGCUGGCGGCAUGCCUUACACAUGCAAGUCGAACGGCAGCACGGGAGCAAUCCUGGUGGCGAGUGGCGAACGGGUGAGUAAUAUAUCGGAACGUGCCCAGUCGUGGGGGAUAACGUAGCGAAAGCUACGCUAAUACCGCAUACGAUCUAUGGAUGAAAGCGGGGGAUCGCAAGACCUCGCGCGAUUGGAGCGGCCGAUAUCAGAUUAGGUAGUUGGUGAGGUAAAGGCUCACCAAGCCGACGAUCUGUAGGCUGGUCUGAGAGGACGACCAGCCACACUGGGACUGAGACACGGCCCAGACUCCUACGGGAGGCAGCAGUGGGGAAUUUUGGACAAUGGGCGCAAGCCUGAUCCAGCAAUGCCGCGUGCAGGAUGAAGGCCUUCGGGUUGUAAACUGCUUUUGUACGGAACGAAACGGUGAGCUCUAAUACAGUUUGCUAAUGACGGUACCGUAAGAAUAAGCACCGGCUAACUACGUG
rnacentral:rRNA from 1 species